GACGAACGCUGGCGGCGUGCUUAACACAUGCAAGUCGAACGGAAAGGCCCUGCUUUUGUGGGGUGCUCGAGUGGCGAACGGGUGAGUAACACGUGAGUAACCUGCCCUUGACUUUGGGAUAACUUCAGGAAACUGGGGCUAAUACCGGAUAGGAGCUCCUGCUGCAUGGUGGGGGUUGGAAAGUUUCGGCGGUUGGGGAUGGACUCGCGGCUUAUCAGCUUGUUGGUGGGGUAGUGGCUUACCAAGGCUUUGACGGGUAGCCGGCCUGAGAGGGUGACCGGCCACAUUGGGACUGAGAUACGGCCCAGACUCCUACGGGAGGCAGAAGUGGGGAAUAUUGCACAAUGGGCGGAAGGCUGAUGCAGCAACGCCGCGUGCGGGAUGACGGCCUUCGGGUUGUAAACCGCUUUCGCCUGUGACGAAGCGUGAGUGACGGUAAUGGGUAAAGAAGCACCGGCUAACUACGUG
rnacentral:rRNA from 1 species